GAUGAAGAACGUAGCGAAAUGCGAUAAGUAAUGUAAAUUGCAGAAUUCAGUGAAUCAUCGAAUCUUUGAACGCACCUUGCACCCUUUGGCAUUCUGAAGGGUACGCUCGUUUGAGUGUCAUUGUACUCUCACACUCCCGAUCUUUGCAUUGGGAGCAGUGGACUUGGGUUUGCUGCUUCACCGUCGCUUACCUCAAAUAGGUUAGUGCAACUCUUGGUUGGACAUAGUACGGCGUGAUAAGUGUUCUUCGCCGGUGCCUCGCAAAGAGGGUGGCCGAUCGGGAUGUUGUGCUCCAAACCGUCUUCGGACAAUCUCUGACGACUUGACCUCAAAUCGAGUAAGACUACCCGCUGAACUUAAGCAUAUCAAUAAGCGGAGGA
rnacentral:misc_RNA from 1 species